AACGGUCAAUCUGGCAGAAGCAUUCGAAUCCUCUCCUCGAGCUUUCUGAGAUGCACGGUACACAAGUAUCAUCCGCAGUGUCUGCAUUGGUUAUGCUCAGUGUAAUGAAACCAUUCUUCUAGCAAAAUAAGGCAAGCAAGGAUGAUUUAACGAUGAGUUGGGGAAGCACUCAGGACGCUAAGGUAGAAGGAUUUCCUGAGCUGCUUCCGGGGUUGCACGAGAUGCCUGCAUGCGUUGUCAUUGCGUGAUACCCCAUUAAUAUUUGUGUUUGUGUAUCAAAUCAAAUUAAAUUUGAAGUUUCAUUUAGAAAUUGCCCUGAAAGUUAAGACAACGUCCUCAAUAUUUAUGAAUCCAUUUGCGGGAAACUCUGCGAUUCUGUUGAGUUCAUUCGGUUGUUUGCAGUCGCUUGUUUUUCUGCGCUGGGCUGGUUCCUGCCUGAGUUCUCUUCAAGCGGUUUUAACAGUCCUGGCUUUGCAUUGGGAUCUUUGAUUCACAUGGAGUGGAUUUCUGCACAGGGUGAUAGAUAUGACUCCAAUUUCAUUUUUCUACACUUGGUCAUCAAAGGAUGCUCUCAACGGAAGACUGGUCAAGCAUCACAAAGUAGAAAAUAAACCAAGAGGGUAGACCUGUCUACAGGAUGAGGAUGAAGGUGGCUCUAAUUGCAAAGGGAGCUCUUAAGACUAAAGAACCAGCAAAGAUCCCCCACACUGUGAGACUUGCUGGAAUAUCUGGAAAUUGCGUGCUGAACACCUACUGUGUGCCAGGCAACAUUCGGGAAAUCUGUUGGUGUCUCACUGAGUUAUAUUCUCUGGGAAUGUACAGAAAUGAGCUGGCAAAUUCAGGACAGAACAUUGUUUCAGGGAGGCAUUAGAGGUGAGUCAGCCAAAGGACCCUGCCAAGUGAGGAGAACUUAAUAAACUGAACUUUAUCAUGCA